GAUGAACGCUAGCGACAGGCCUAACACAUGCAAGUCGAGGGGCAGCAUUAUUAAAGCUUGCUUUAAUAAAUGGCGACCGGCGCACGGGUGCGUAACGCGUAUGCAACCUACCCAUUACAGGAGGAUAGCCCAGAGAAAUUUGGAUUAAUACUCCAUAGUAUUUACUGAAAGCAUUUUUAGUAUUUUAAAAGAUUCGUCUGGUAAUGGAUGGGCAUGCGUAUGAUUAGUUAGUUGGUGGGGUAACGGCCUACCAAGACGACGAUCAUUAGGGGUUCUGAGAGGAUAGUCCCCCACACUGGUACUGAGACACGGACCAGACUCCUACGGGAGGCAGCAGUGAGGAAUAUUGGUCAAUGGGCGAGAGCCUGAACCAGCCAAGUCGCGUGCAGGACGACUGCCCUAUGGGUUGUAAACUGCUUUUAUAUAGGAAUAAUUGUUUUUACGUGUAAGAAUUUGAAUGUACUAUAUGAAUAAGCACCGGCUAACUCCGUGCCAGCAGCCGCGGUAAUACGGAGGGUGCAAGCGUUAUCCGGAUUUAUUGGGUUUAAAGGGUGCGUAGGCGGGUUCAUAAGUCAGUGGUGAAAGUCUGUCGCUUAACGAUAGAAUUGCCAUUGAAACUGUGGAUCUUGAAUACAGUAGAGGUAGGCGGAAUAUAUUGUGUAGCGGUGAAAUGCAUAGAUACGAUAUAGAACACCUAUUGCGAAGGCAGCUUACUAUGCCGUAAUUGACGCUGAUGCACGAAAGCGUGGGGAGCGAACAGG
rnacentral:rRNA from 1 species